ACUCCUACGGGAGGCAGCAGUGGGGAAUAUUGCACAAUGGGCGCAAGCCUGAUGCAGCCAUGCCGCGUGUGUGAAGAAGGCCUUCGGGUUGUAAAGCACUUUCAGUCGUGAGGAAGGUAGUGUAGUUAAUAGCUGCAUUAUUUGACGUUAGCGACAGAAGAAGCACCGGCUAACUCCGUGCCAGCAGCCGCGGUAAUACGUAGGGGGCGAGCGUUGUCCGGAAUCAUUGGGCGUAAAGCGCGUGUAGGCGGCUUGGUCAGUUUGGUGUGAAAUCCCGGGGCUCAACCCCGGAACUGCACUGAAUACUGCCUCGCUAGAGUCCGGGAGAGGAGUUGGGAAUUCCCAGUGUAGCGGUGAAAUGCGCAGAUAUUGGGAAGAACACCAAUGGCGAAGGCACAACUCUGGAACGGUACUGACGCUGAGACGCGAAAGCGUGGGGAGCAAACAGGA
rnacentral:rRNA from 1 species